GGUCCUGUAGUGUAGCGGUUAUCACAUGGGAUUCUGACCCAUAGGUUGAUCACUCUGUUCCCAUGACCCAGGUUCGAUUCCUGGCAGGACCU